UUGUCAGACUUCCAAGAAAAGCUCGCAAUGUCAUAAACAAAUAAUGCCUGUACCAUAACCGACACAGGUGGGUAGGUAGAGUAUACUAAGGGGCGCGAGAUAACUCUCUCUAAGGAACUCGGCAAAAUGACUCCGUAACUUCGGGAGAAGGAGUGCCUUAUUUAUAAGGUUGCAAUAACAAGAUCCAAGCAACUGUUUAUCAAAAACACAGGUCUCCGCUAAGUCGUAAGACGAUGUAUGGGGGCUGACGCCUGCCCAGUGCCAGAAGGUUAAAGAAGUUGGUUAGCUUUCGCGAAGCUGAUAACUGAAGCCCUGGUGAACGGCGGCCGUAACAAUAACGGUCCUAAGGUAGCGAAAUUCCUUGUCGGGUAAGUUCCGACCCGCACGAAAGGCGUAAUGAUUUGGAUACUGUCUCGGAGAGGGGCUCGGUGAAAUAGACUUGUCUGUGAAGAUGCGGACUACCUGCACCUGGACAGAAAGACCCUAUGAAGCUUUACUGUAACUUGAAAUUGAAAUUGGACUUUAUUUGCGCAGCAUAGGUGGGAGGCGUUGAGAGUAUUCUUGCGGGAAUAUUGGAGCCAUCAGUGAGAUACCACUCUUGUAAUGUUAGAUUUCUAACUUUGUAUCAUUAUCUGGUCAAAGAACAGUUUCAGGCGGGCAGUUUGACUGGGGCGGUCGCCUCCCAAACGGUAACGGAGGCGUACAAAGGUUUCCUCUGAACGGGUAGAAAUCGUAUCUAGAGUGUAAAGGCAUAAGGAAGCUUGACUGUGAGACCUACAAGUCGAGCAGGGACGAAAGUCGGUCUUAGUGAUCUGACGGUGCUGAGUGGAAAGGCCGUCACUCAACGGAUAAAAGUUACUCUAAGGAUAACAGGCUGAUCUCCCCCAAGAGUUCACAUCGACGGGGAGGUUUGGCACCUCGAUGUCGGCUCAUCGCAUCCUGGGGCGGUAGUACGUCCCAAGGGUUGGGCUGUUCGCCCAUGAAAGCGGUACGCGAGCUGGGUUCAGAACGUCGUGAGACAGUUCGGUCCAUAUCCGGUGUAGGCGUUAGAAUAUUGAGAGGAGCCUUCUUUAGUACGAGAGGACCGAGAAGGACAUACCUCUGGUGUACCAGUUAUCGUGCCUACGGUAAACGCUGGGUAGCUAUGUAUGGAGAGGAUAACCGCUGAAAGCAUCUAAGUGGGAAGCCCACCUCAAGAUAAGUAUUCUCAUCACGUAAGUGAAUAAGGUCACGGUAAGACUAACCGUUUGAUAGGCAUUAAGUGUAAAUCUAGUAAUAGGUGAGCUGAGAUGUACUAACAGACCGAAGAC
rnacentral:rRNA from 1 species